rnacentral:rRNA from 1 species
UGCAUAUCCCAAAAGCUGAGGAAAAGAAACCAACAGGGAUUGCCUUAGUAGCGGCGAGUGAAGCGGCAAAAGCUCAAAUUUGAAAUCUGGCGUAUUCUGCGUCCGAGUUGUAAUUUGAAGAAGGAUACUUUGGGGUUGGCUCUUGUCUAUGUUUCUUGGAACAGAACGUCACAGAGGGUGAGAAUCCCGUGCGAUGAGAAGCCCAAUUCCGUGUAAAGUGCCUUCGAAGAGUCGAGUUGUUUGGGAAUGCAGCUCUAAGUGGGUGGUAAAUUCCAUCUAAAGCUAAAUAUUGGCGAGAGACCGAUAGCGAACAAGUACAGUGAUGGAAAGAUGAAAAGAACUUUGAAAAGAGAGUGAAAAAGUACGUGAAAUUGUUGAAAGGGAAGGGCUUGAGAUCAGACUUGGUAUUUUGUAUGUCUUGCUUUCGGGUGGGGCCUCUGCAGUUUACUGGGCCAGCAUCGGUUCGGGUGGUAGGACAAUUGCGAAGGAACGUGGCACUGCUUCGGUGGUGUGUUAUAGCCUUUGUGGAUACUGCCUGUCUGGACCGAGGACUGCGUCAUUUGACUAGGAUGCUGGCAUAAUGAUCUUAAGUCGCCCGUCUUGAACCCACGGACCA